rnacentral:rRNA from 1 species
AGGCGAUCGAGUGAACUGUGGUCAAGGAACUCGGCAAAAUGCCCCCGUAACUUCGGGAGAAGGGGGGCCGGGUCGCGUGAAGGAACACGCUUCCGGAGCGCAGUCCGGCCGCAGAGACCAGGGGAAAGCGACUGUUUACUAAAAACACAGCUCCGUGCCAAGUCGUAAGACGACGUAUACGGAGUGACGCCUGCCCGGUGCUGGAACGUUAAGGGGACGGGUCAGCCUUUCGGGGCGAAGCUCAGAACUUAAGCGCCAGUAAACGGCGGUGGUAACUAUAACCAUCCUAAGGUAGCGAAAUUCCUUGUCGGGUAAGUUCCGACCUGCACGAAUGGCGUAACGACUUUCCUACUGUCUCGACCACAGACUAGGCGAAAUUGCACUACGAGUAAAGAUGCUCGUUACGCGCGGCAGGACGGAAAGACCCCGGGACCUUUACUACAGCUUGAUAUUGGUGUUCGGUUCGGCUUGUGUAGGAUAGGUGGGAGACUGUGA